CAAAACCCUAGCCGCCACGCCAACCCUUCUCGUCAGGCCCGCGCCCCCUCUGCCCCGUCUCCUCCCUGCUCCCUCCUCUCCCUCCUAUCCCACGUCGCCGCCCUCGAGCCCCCUCCACCUCGUCUCCUCCCUGCUCCCUCCUCUCCAACGCCGCUGCCCUCGAUGCGCCGUCAGGGAGGCCAUCAGCCCGAGCCUAGGAGAAGACCACUCCUAAUCUUACUCGCCGCUGCUGAUUGGAUUGAGAGCGCCCACAUGGCCUCGCCACCGCUGCCGCCUGGAUUUGCUAGCCGCCGCAUGGAGUCACCCUGGCCGCCGCGUGGAGUCGCCCUGGCCGCCGCCGAGAGUCAGCUCCACCAUUGCCCCCAGGAAUCCGGUCCCGGCAAGGUAACUUCCUCCGAAUCCCUGCUCUCCCUGGUCCUCCUGCGGUCCUGCCCUGCUUGCUGCAUGUGUGUUGUGUGCGUUUGGCCACUCCUCGAGCAAGCUCAAGUCCGUCGACUUUUACAGGUACCAUCUGCCUCCCUUCCGAUCUUCAGAUCUCCAUAUUUGGUGACUGCGCUGUUUUGAUUUCGUUGGAUUACUAUCUGUAUUUGGGGAUUAGCUAUGAAUUGAUGUUUUUACUUCGAGCAUGGAUAGUCGGCAGUACUGAUUUAGUCCUUUUUGUAGAACAGAAUGAUUAGCUCAUCUAUUUCUGGAGAACUGCACUGUAGAUGAUAUAUUUAUGAACGAUCUUCACACUGAAAAUGCAAAAUUUACGGUAUGGUCUAAUGAUUGUCGGUGGGGUGUGACUUUUUUGCUGGCAUUGUCCAGUGCAGUUUUUGGAUUUCUACUGAGUUGUACAGUGUUUUGAGAUUUGUCUUUGUGUUAUGAUAUCUGCAUGAAAAUUCCCAGGGAUUUGAUUGACGGAGGCAUCACUAUUUGACGUUGGAUUAUCCAUUUUUGCAGCACUAGCAAUGUUGUUUUUGUUUGGAAUGGCCAGUUCUCAAUUUCUAUUCUGUUAUCAACGAUACUGUACUUCUUGUCAGGUUACAUUAUCUUACUUGGUUUUAGUCUAUAUGUAGCACAAAAAUAGGCAGCAUGGUUGUUUUCAUACUCGAUUUGGUUUGUAGGUUACACUAAGAAACACCAUCAUAAGGAAAAUGACAUUGCACUGCAUUGUUUAUAAUUGGCCUGUUACUAUUCGGUCUGCUGUAGUACUUAAUUGCUACACCAUUUCAAGUUAUGUAGUUGUCGGCGUUUUGGGAACGGAGGUCCCCAGACUUGUUUGCCUGCGGCCUACGGUUUGGCUCAGGUGGGGCCAGCGCGGCCCAUCUUCAUCAACCCAAACUCAAGACCCUCGCAAGGGGUCAAGCCUUGCGGGGCGGAUGACAGGAAGCUUCCUUAAGAGCAGCCUCAUGAGGCACGCUCGCGAGAAGGCGGAGAGAUCAAUGUAAGGGUACCUCGCGAGGAUCCCAUAACGCAAGCCAUGAUGAUCAAGACCAGGCGGGCGCCAGACGGGCGCCGGCCUGCGCAGGGUUUUUGUUUCCCUUUUGGUAUAAAGGGGCAAGCACAGACCAAUGCAUCAGGCAAAGUUUGCCAUUCCGGUGCAACGAGACCAAGAUCAGCAUAGCGGCAGGAUGAAGGUCAUUGUGGAGCCCAAGACGGUGUCAUCACCAGUACUUUUGGCAGCCGAAAACCACCUUUGAUCCUUUGCAGAUCAAUUGGUGAGGCCGAAUGCUAAGCAUUGUUUCACAUUCAGGUUUGCUAUCAAACUCUUAAAAAGAAAAAACAACUUUACUCUGUUUUUUGGAGAACCUUCCUGUAGAGUACAUCGACAGAGACAAAUAUGCGAUCAAGGAUAUAUUCGAUGGAUUUUUACGCAAAAUUUGGAGGAUAUUUUUGCAGAUAGUUUGGUGCUCUCAUGGUUAUUUUGUAGUGAUUUUCCUUAUGUUCAUUACUUGGUAACCAUCUAUGGCAGCUCAGCUAUUGUCCAGCUGCUGACCUUGGUGAGUGAUUGAUGGUGCAUGUUUUUCUUUUAGUUUCUCUCUAUGCCAAUGUAUGAAUUUUAUCUUGCCGUUUUGCAUUUCUCCAGGCCUUUCAAUCUCACUGUGAUUCCCCGAGAUGCGCUAUUAGUAGGCAUCCACUUUGUAACAAAAAUUUGGCAGUCAACCUGAAACGAGUCAUUUAUCUAGCCACAGCAACCUUCCUUGCUUUUGCAAAUAAUACUGUAUGGUUGACACUAUAGUCUAUACCUGCCAAAUAUUUACACGUUAGUAUAGCCAGAAAGUCAGAUGAUCAUUCCAUGUUGGUUAGCCGUGAUAAAUAAAAUUUCUAGAGUAGCAGAUGGUUCGUGUCAGGUUUCUUUUAGAGAUUGAAAUAUGUCUUGACUCUGAAAUUAGUAGUACAGCGUCCAGUUCUCCAUAGGUGAAAGCAUACUAUGCAAAACUGGACGGCCUUCUAAAAGCUCUGAAACUACUAUUUGCUGUAAAUCUGUAUCCCCUUUUCAUACUUUGUAUAUGCUUUCUACUUACUAGGAAAAAAAUGCGUGAGAACGAUGGCCUAGAGGAUGUGAAUUGCACUCAAAUAUAUGCAGGUUUCUUGCCAAACUAACUGCCACUAUUGUAUUUCAGGUGCUUCUUCUGUAACUUAGUGUAUUUUGCUGGCUCGUCUCAUUUCCUGGCGAACUUUGUAGUAUGUACAGUUGAAUCAUUGGAAGUUGUUUUCUACUAUCUAUAGAGGUUUUAUCCAAACUAUUAGCUGCCUGACUUGCUUUUUUGAAAUAUACCAACCUGAUAGACCAAGUGGACCAACACAUUUCCAUGGGAUUUUAGAAAAAUAUAUGUGAAUUUGCAUACGUUUUCUAGAUUUCUAUCUUUUCUUAUCCAUGCUUCCCCAUAGAUAUAUAGCAGGCUCAACAAAAAUAUAUGUCCGCUUAUGUUCAAAUUUCAAGGAAGUGUGCUUCACACUUCUCUUUCUGCAAUAUGUUUCAGAGUAUAUGAUUUAAUUUUCCUACUUUUCCAGUUAAAAUACUGUGUACUUCAUUCUUAGCUUUGCUUUAGGAAAAAUAGGUAUGCAGGUUAUCGAAAGCUCCAUUUUUCACCAUUAUAUAGAUUAUAUAGCUUUGUGGUCGAAGGUAGGUUGUCACAUAUGGGAUGUUGCUUGUGAAAGUCAUAUACAGCCAUGAGUCCCUGACAAAAUAAUCGCAGCUCAUAUUCUUAGGAUCAGGGAACCUCGACCAUUUUUCUGAAACAUGUCGCAGCUCAUGUUCCUACUUUCCCAGCUAUAGUAUGUACUUCAUUCUUACCUUUGCUUUUGGAAGUUACAUUGCUUUCUUUUCCCUCAUAUAAACUUGCUAACGAUAUUGGCGAAGUAAUCCCCACUUCAGAUUUCCCAUUGAAUGAAUAACUAAUUUAGUUUGUUCAAAAAUUGUAGGUCAAGAGCCAUGAAUAGGAGCAAGGCAUCACACUCCAGCUCUGAGAAGAAAAGGAUAUGAAGACAAAAAUAUCAGUGUUCUGCUCCGAAGCAAAAACAUUUUGCGUGUAAUAAUGAGUUGUAAUUUACCACAAUCUCUAAAACAGGCCUACCUACUUGCUUUUGUAUUAGGAAGUAUGACUCAGUCAUAUAUAUUUACAUUCAUGUUGUUUAGUUAUGGCUUGUAUGCAUGAAAAUACCUUUUUAAAUGAGCUUGAAAAUUCUUAUGUACAGUGAAA